UAAACCGUACUGAAAACCGACACAGGUGGUCAGGUAGAGAAUACUCAGGCGCUUGAGAGAACUCGGGUGAAGGAACUAGGCAAAAUAGCACCGUAACUUCGGGAGAAGGUGCGCUGGCGUAGGUUGUAGGAGUAUACCUCCGAAGGCUGAACCAGUCGAAGAUACCAGCUGGCUGCAACUGUUUAUUAAAAACACAGCACUCUGCAAACACGAAAGUGGACGUAUAGGGUGUGAUGCCUGCCCGGUGCUGGAAGGUUAAUUGAUGGUGUUAUCGAAAGAGAAGCUCCUGAUCGAAGCCCCAGUAAACGGCGGCCGUAACUAUAACGGUCCUAAGGUAGCGAAAUUCCUUGUCGGGUAAGUUCCGACCUGCACGAAUGGCAUAAUGAUGGCCAGGCUGUCUCCACCCGAGACUCAGUGAAAUUGAAAUCGCCGUGAAGAUGCGGUGUACCCGCGGCUAGACGGAAAGACCCCGUGAACCUUUACUAUAGCUUGACACUGAACAUUGAAUUUUGAUGUGUAGGAUAGGUGGGAGCC
rnacentral:rRNA from 1 species